rnacentral:rRNA from 1 species
GACGAACGCUGGCGGCGUGCUUAACACAUGCAAGUCGAACGGAGUGGCGAACGGGUGUGUAACACGUGGGUGACCCGCCCUGCACUUCGGGAUAAGCCUGGUAAAAUGGGUCUAAUAUCGGGUAGUGUGGGAUGGACACGCGGCCUAUCAGCUUGUUGGUGGGGUAAUGGCCUACUAAGGCGCCGACGGGUAGCCGGCCUGCGAGGGUGGACGGCCACAUACGGCCUAGGAGCCGACCAAGAGUACUACUGGAGGCAGGAGUGGAAGAUGUUGCACACUGGGCGGGCGACGGAGGGAGGGACGCCGCGGGGGGGAUGUCGGCCUUCGGGUUCUAAACUCCUUAAGCCUUCGACGCGGUAGAUGGAGAAGAAGCACCGGCUAACUACGUGCCAGCAGCCGCGGUAAUAC